CUUUCCUUCGGGACAGAGGAGACAGGUGGUGCAUGGUUGUCGUCAGCUCGUGUCGUGAGAUGUUGGGUUAAGUCCCGCAACGAGCGCAACCCUUAUGCUUAGUUGCCAGCAGGUCAAGCUGGGCACUCUAAGCAGACUGCCGGUGACAAACCGGAGGAAGGUGGGGAUGACGUCAAAUCAUCAUGCCCCUUAUGACCUGGGCUACACACGUACUACAAUGGCCGGUACAACGGGAAGCGAAGGAGCGAUCUGGAGCCAAUCCUAGAAAAGCCGGUCUCAGUUCGGAUUGUAGGCUGCAACUCGCCUACAUGAAGUCGGAAUUGCUAGUAAUCGCGGAUCAGCAUGCCGCGGUGAAUACGUUCCCGGGUCUUGUACACACCGCCCGUCACACCACGAGAGUUUACAACACCCGAAGUCGGUGAGGUAACCGCAAGGGGCCAGCCGCCGAAGGUGGGGUAGAUGAUUGGGGUGAAGUCGUAACAAGGUAGCCGUAUCGGAAGGUGCGGCUGGAUCACCUCCUUUCUAUGGAGA
rnacentral:rRNA from 1 species